GACGAACGCUGGCGGCGUGCUUAACACAUGCAAGUCAAGGGGGCGGAGCAAUCCGCAACCGGCGAACGGGUGCGUAACACGUGAGCGACCUACCUUGAGGCGGGGGAUAGCCGGCCCAACGGCCGGGUAAUACCGCAUACGCUUGUCGAGGGGAGUCCUUCGGCAAGGAAACUUUCGAGGCAAAUCGAGGAGCUCGCGGCCUAUCAGCUAGUUGGCGGGGUAAUGGCCCACAAAGGCGACGACGGGUAGCUGGUCUGAGAGGAUGGCCAGCCACAUUGGGACUGAGAGACGGCCCAGACUCCUACGGGAGGCAGCAGUGGGGAAUCUUGCGCAAUGGCCGAAAGGCUGACGCAGCGACGCCGCGUGGGGGAUGAAGGUUUUCGGAUCGUAAACCCCUGUUGCCCGGGACGAACAGCCCUUUCGAGGGACUUGACGGUACCGGGUGAGGAAGCACCGGCUAACUCUGUGCCAGCCGCCGCCGUAACAC
rnacentral:rRNA from 1 species